UCGAGGGGUAACAGGAGUAGCUUGCUAUUUGCUGACGACCGGCGCACGGGUGCGUAACGCGUAUAGAAUCUACCUUAUACUGGGGGAUAGCCUUUGGAAACGAAGAUUAAUACCCCAUAGUAUUAUUUUUUGGCAUCAUUAAAUAAUUAAAGUUUCGGCGGUAUAAGAUGACUAUGCGUUCUAUUAGUUAGUUGGUAAGGUAACGGCUUACCAAGACUUCGAUAGAUAGGGGUCCUGAGAGGGAGAUCCCCCACACUGGUACUGAGACACGGACCAGACUCCUACGGGAGGCAGCAGUGAGGAAUAUUGGACAAUGGAGGCAACUCUGAUCCAGCCAUGCCGCGUGUAGGAAGACUGCCCUAUGGGUUGUAAACUACUUUUAUAUGGGAAGAAUAAGGUCUACGUGUAGAUCGAUGACGGUACCAUAAGAAUAAGCACCGGCUAACUCCGUGCCAGCAGCCGCGGUAAUACGGAGGGUGCAAGCGUUAUCCGGAAUCAUUGGGUUUAAAGGGUCCGUAGGCGGGCAUAUAAGUCAGUGGUGAAAGUCUGUGGCUCAACCAUAGAAUUGCCAUUGAUACUGUAUGUCUUGAAUUAUUGUGAAGUGGUUAGAAUAUGUAGUGUAGCGGUGAAAUGCUUAGAGAUUACAUAGAAUACCGAUUGCGAAGGCAGAUCACUAACAAUAUAUUGACGCUGAUGGACGAAAGCGUAGGUAGCGAACAGGAUUAGAUACCCUGGUAGUCUACGCCGUAAACGAUGGAUACUAGUUGUUUGGUUUUCGGACUGAGUGACUAAGCGAAAGUGAUAAGUAUCCCACCUGGGGAGUACGUUCGCAAGAAUGAAACUCAAAGGAAUUGACGGGGGCCCGCACNAGCGGUGGAGCAUGUGGUUUAAUUCGAUGAUACGCGAGGAACCUUACCAGGGCUUAAAUGUAGUCUGACAGCUUUAGAGAUAGAGUUUUCUUCGGACAGAUUACAAGGUGCUGCAUGGUUGUCGUCAGCUCGUGCCGUGAGGUGUCAGGUUAAGUCCUAUAACGAGCGCAACCCCUGUGGUUAGUUGCCAGCGAGUAAUGUCGGGAACUCUAGCCAGACUGCCGGUGCAAACCGUGAGGAAGGUGGGGAUGACGUCAAAUCAUCACGGCCCUUACGUCCUGGGCCACACACGUGCUACAAUGGUAGGGACAGAGAGCAGCCACUUAGCGAUAAGGAGCGAAUCUAUAAACCCUAUCUCAGUUCGGAUUGGAGUCUGCAACUCGACUCCAUGAAGCUGGAAUCGCUAGUAAUCGGAUAUCAGCCAUGAUCCGGUGAAUACGUUCCCGGGCCUUGUACACACCGCCCGUCAAGCCAUGGAAGCUGGGGGUACCUGAAGUCCGUCACCGUAAGGAGCG
rnacentral:rRNA from 1 species